CCUUCAAAAGUUUCGCUAUUUAACUUCAUAAUCUACAUAUCUGUACGAAAAAGAAAAAGUAGAUGAUUGCGUUCUACGCGAGUCCUUAUAUCAAUCUAGUCGUGCAUGUUAAUCAAAGAUUUAAGUUCUGCCAAGUCAUAGAUUUUUCUGGCAGACUCAGGCAACCCAUUCCAUGCUCUAAUAGCACCAGGGAAUUAGGUGUAUUUGUACAAAUUUGUCCUAGCAUAUGGGAUGAGGAAUGUGCCUUUGUCUUUGUAUCU